rnacentral:rRNA from 1 species
GACGAACGCUGGCGGCGUGCUUAACACAUGCAAGUCGAGCGAUGAAGCUCCUUCGGGAGUGGAUUAGCGGCGGACGGGUGAGUAACACGUGGGCAACCUGCCUUAUAGAGAGGAAUAGCCAUCCGAAAGGAUGAUUAAUACCUCAUAAUAUUGUAGCUUCGCAUGGAGCAACAAUCAAAGGAGCAAUCCACUAUAAGAUGGGCCCGCGGCGCAUUAGCUAGUUGGUGAGGUAACGGCUCACCAAGGCGACGAUGCGUAGCCGACCUGAGAGGGUGAUCGGCCACAUUGGUACUGAGACACGGCCCAGACUCCUACGGGAUGCAGCAGUGGGGAAUAUUGCACAAUGGGGGGAACCCUGAUGCAGCAACGCCGCGUGAGUGAUGACGGCCUUCGGGUUGUAAAGCUCUGUCUUCAGGGACGAUAAUGACGGUACCUGAGGAGGAAGCCACGGCUAACUACGUGCCAGCCGCCGCUGUAACAC